AGCCUAGUGCAUCUCACUGCUAAGAUUGUCCCUAAUGUUCAGAGCUACUAGUCAAUGUAACUACCGUAAAAAUUUUGUCAAAUGCAAAAAUUGUAACACAAACAGUAAUAUGUUCAAAACACAAAAGACAAACAAGCUAAUCUCAGAACUUCAUGGUCACAUUUUUCAUUUUGGAUUCAUUAUCAUGCAGUUUUAUCAUUAUUUUUUUAUAAUAAUCAUCAUGCACUUUAAAAGUUCUAAUAAUGGGUCAAAAAUCAAGACUAUAUUAAGCCCAAGAAAAUAAAUUAGGAUUGGU
rnacentral:misc_RNA from 1 species